UACGUAGGGGGCGAGCGUUGUCCGGAGUUACUGGGCGUAAAGCGCACGCAGGCGGUCUGCUAAGUUUGGAGUGACAGUUGGUGGCUUAACUGCCAAAGUGCUUCGAAAACUGACAGACUUGAGGGCUUCAGAGGGACGCGGAAUUCCGGGUGGAGUGGUGAAAUGCGUAGAGAUCCGGAGGAACACCAAAGGCGAAGGCAGUGUCCUGGGGAGUGACUGACGCUCAGGUGCGAAAGCCAGGGGAGCGAACGGG
rnacentral:rRNA from 1 species